UAUUCACAUUUUUUUGCAUUGUUUCCUGGAAAAGUUCUUCAUACCUUGUAGAAUCAUAAGUAACUAACAUAGCUAUUGUGAAGUCACAGGACUUCUAAUGAUGCCCAUCUCUGUGGCAGAUGUGCAUGGAUAACUAAACUGAAGCUUGGGAACAGUUUGAUUUCUGCAGUGACGGCAUGUGCUGCAGGGAGGAAUUCAACAGCAUCAAACACAAAGCCUUUUAAUCUAAAGCAAUGUUCAGUAUGCUUGGAAGUCACUGAACAGAUGGCUGAUGAGCACUCCCAGAGCAUUAACUGAACUCCAUGGGCAUCUUAUCAACAUCCAUGUGACAACACUUCAAGCAAAAGUUUUCCUUUCUAGAAAAGAGGCUACACACAAGCAGCAUGGCAAGUAAAUGAGAUAGCACCGUGUUGCACUGUGAUGAAGGCUGGUAACAGUCAUCAGUUGUAUCAAAUGCAGGUUUGCAUUAAUAAAACUGAGAAAUAUG